UACGAAGGGGGCUAGCGUUGUUCGGAAUUACUGGGCGUAAAGGGCGCGUAGGCGGUCCUUCAAGUCAGGCGUGAAAGCCCCGGGCUCAACCUGGGAACCGCGCUUGAGACUGGCGGGCUAGAGUUCGGGAGAGGAUGGUGGAAUUCCCAGUGUAGAGGUGAAAUUCGUAGAUAUUGGGAAGAACACCGAUGGCGAAGGCAGCCAUCUGGACCGACACUGACGCUGAGGCGCGAAAGCGUGGGGAGCAAACGGG
rnacentral:rRNA from 1 species